AAGACACUAGUAAAACUUAAUACCCUGCCUUGUCAAGGCAGAAUUGUGGGUUAGAAUCCCUCGUGCCUUG
rnacentral:tRNA from 1 species